AUACUUGCCUGCCAGACGAGACACUGUGAUCACGAAGACUUUCCCAUGGCAAGGUUGAUUUAUUGCACGCUGAUGUGCUGACCUCUGCGAUUUCCCCAAAUGUGGGAAACCCAAUUGCAUAAUUUGUGGAAGUGAAGGAUUGUGUUUGUGCUUUCA
ensembl:snRNA U1 U1 spliceosomal RNA